GGUUAGACGAAGAAUCUGAAUGGAGCUAUAGAUUGGUUUAACUAACAGUAAAUAUUUAACAGUUAUAUUUUAUUCUUUUUUUGGGUGAAAUUUUUAUAAAGAUAACAAAUCUCUUAAUAAUAUUUAAUGGAAUUAAAAAACGAGGGCUAAAAACCAGGAUUAGAUACCCUGUUAUUCCUUGCAACUCAAUGGUAGGGUAGUAAAAGUUUAUUCUUCAAACCCAAAGAUUUUGGCGGCAUUUUAACCAAACAGAGGAGCUUGUCUUGUAAUCGAUAACCCCCGCUAUACCUAACCUUUCCUAGUCCAGUUUGUAUACCUCCGUUGUCAGAUUACUCCCUUAAGGAUGUUUUCUACAAAAAUUAUUUUUUUACUUCAGGUCAAGGUGCAGCUCAUGUGAAGGUAACGAUGAGCUACAAUUCUCUUAAGAAUCACGAAGAUUGAUUUAAAAUUCAACUGAAGGUGGAUUUGUUAGUAAGUCAGCUUAAGGAAAGCUGACUGAAUAAGGCAAUAGAAUGUGUACAUAUCGCCCGUCACUCUCCUUCUAAAAGGAGAUAAGUCGUAACAAA
rnacentral:rRNA from 1 species